GUCGACAGCCAUACCACCCUGAACACACCCGAUCUCGUCUGAUCUCAGAAGCUAAGCAGGGCCUGGUUAGUCCUUGGAAAGGAGAAGGAGGUCGGGG
rnacentral:rRNA from 1 species